CCUACGGGAGGCAGCAGUGGGGAAUAUUGCACAAUGGGCGCAAGCCUGAUGCACCCAUGCCGCGUGUGUGAAGAAGGCCUUCGGGUUGUAAAGCACUUUCAGCGGGGAGGAAGGCGGUGAGGUUAAUAACCUCAUCGAUUGACGUUACCCGCAGAAGAAGCACCGGCUAACUCCGUGCCAGCAGCCGCGGUAAUACGGAGGGUGCAAGCGUUAAUCGGAAUUACUGGGCGUAAAGCGCACGCAGGCGGUCUGUCAAGUCGGAUGUGAAAUCCCCGGGCUCAACCUGGGAACUGCAUUCGAAACUGGCAGGCUAGAGUCUUGUAGAGGGGGGUAGAAUUCCAGGUGUAGCGGUGAAAUGCGUAGAGAUCUGGAGGAAUACCGGUGGCGAAGGCGGCCCCCUGGACAAAGACUGACGCUCAGGUGCGAAAGCGUGGGGAGCAAACAGGAUUAGAUACCCGAGUAGUC
rnacentral:rRNA from 1 species